rnacentral:rRNA from 1 species
UGGUGUAGCGGUGAAAUGCUUAGAUAUCACGAAGAACUCCGAUUGCGAAGGCAGCCUGCUAAGCUGCAACUGACAUUGAGGCUCGAAAGUGUGGGUAUCAAACAGGAUUAGAUACCCUGGUAGUCCACACGGUAAACGAUGAAUACUCGCUGUUUGCGAUAUACUGCAAGCGGCCAAGCGAAAGCGUUAAGUAUUCCACCUGGGGAGUACGCCGGCAACGGUGAAACUCAAAGGAAUUGACGGGGGCCCGCACAAGCGGAGGAACAUGUGGUUUAAUUCGAUGAUACGCGAGGAACCUUACCCGGGCUUAAAUUGCAGAUGAAUUACGGUGAAAGCCGUAAGCCGCAAGGCAUCUGUGAAGGUGCUGCAUGGUUGUCGUCAGCUCGUGCCGUGAGGUGUCGGCUUAAGUGCCAUAACGAGCGCAACCCUUGUUGUCAGUUACUAACAGGUCAUGCUGAGGACUCUGACAAGACUGCCAUCGUAAGAUGUGAGGAAGGUGGGGAUGACGUCAAAUCAGCACGGCCCUUACGUCCGGGGCUACACACGUGUUACAAUGGGGGGUACAGAGGGCCGCUACCACGCGAGUGGAUGCCAAUCCCCAAAACCUCUCUCAGUUCGGACUGGAGUCUGCAACCCGACUCCACGAAGCUGGAUUCGCUAGUAAUCGCGCAUCAGCCACGGCGCGGUGAAUACGUUCCCGGGCCUUGUACACACCGCCCGUCAAGCCAUGGGAGCCGGGGGUACCUGAAGUGCGUAACCGCGAGGAGCGCCCUAGGGUAAAACUGGUGACUGGGGCUAAGUCGUAACAAGGUAGCCGUACCGGAAGGUGCGGCUG